AGGAAUUGGCUCCUGUGAUUAUGGAGGCCAAGAAUUCUCAUGAUUUGCUGUCUGCAAGCUGGAAGCCCAGGAAAGCUGGUGGUCAAAUGUGCAGUGAACAUCCUCUAUUUUCUGGGUGUUGAUGAUACCAAGAUGAAUGACAGCAAAUUACCAUGGGGUUCUCCAAGUGUAAAAGAUAAGGAAACCAAGGCAAAGCAGCUAAUUGCCUAACACCACACAACUAAGAAGAAGCAAUAUGGCACCUGUGCCUUUCAUUUAAAAGUCAUGUUAGCAACAGAGACAGG